rnacentral:rRNA from 1 species
GACGAACGCUGGCGGCGUGCUUAAUACAUGCAAGUCGAACGGAAAGGCCCUGCUCUUGCGGGGUGCUUGAGUGGCGAACGGGUGAGUAACACGCGAGUAACCUGCCCCUGACUUUGGGAUAACUCUAGGAAACUGGGGCUAAAACCGGAUAGGAGCUUCUGCUGCAUGGUGGGGGUUGGAAAGUGUCGGCGGUUGGGGAUAGACUCGCGGCUUAUCAGCUUGUUGGUGGAGUAGUGGAAUACCAAGGCUUUGACGGGUAGGCGGCCUGAGAGGUUGGCCGGCCACAUGAGGCCUAAGGGACGGCGCAGAAGCGAACGGGCGGCAGUGGUGGAGAGUAUUACGCAGUGAGCGGGAGCCUGAUACGACGGCGCCGCGAGCGGAAUAACGGCCUUCGAGUUAUAAACAGCUUUCGCCGGUAACGAAGCGUGAGUGACGGUAAUGGAUAAGGAAGCACCGGCUAACUACGUG